AGUGAACGCUGGCGGUAGGCCUAGCACAUGCAAGUCGAACGGCAGCACAGGAGAGCUUGCUCUCUGGGUGGCGAGUGGCGGACGGGUGAGGAAUACAUCGGAAUCUACUUUUUCGUGGGGGAUAACGUAGGGAAACUUACGCUAAUACCGCGUACGACCUACGGGUGAAAGCAGGGGACCUUCGGGCCUUGCGCGAUUGAAUGAGCCGAUGUCGGAUUAGCUAGUUGGCGGGGUAAAGGCCCACCAAGGCGACGAUCCGUAGCUGGUCUGAGAGGAUGAUCAGCCACACUGGAACUGAGACACGGUCCAGACUCCUACGGGAGGCAGCAGUGGGGAAUAUUGGACAAUGGGCGCAAGCCUGAUCCAGCCAUACAGCGUGGGUGAAGAAGGCCUUCGGGUUGUAAAGCCCUUUUGUUGGGAAAGAAAUCCAGCUGGCUAGUACCCGGUUGGGAUGACGGUACCCAAAGAAUAAGCACCGGCUAACUUCGUGCCAGCCGCCGCCGUAA
rnacentral:rRNA from 1 species